GGGCGCUUUGCAGAUGCUGCCGCCGAGGAAAGUCCUGUACUACUAGCCAUGGUCAACCCUACUGUGUUCUUCGACAUUGCCAUCGACGGCGAGCCCUUGGGCCGCGUCUCCUUCGAGCUGUUUGCAGACAAGUUUCCAAAGACAGCAGAAAAUUUUCAUGCUCUGAGCACUGGGGAGAAAGGAUUUGGUUAUAAGGGUUCCUGCUUUCACAGAAUUAUUCCAGGGUUUAUGUGUCAGGGUGGUGACUUCACAUGCCAUAAUGGCACUGGUGGCAAGUCCAUCUAUGGGGAGAAAUUUGAAGAUGAGAACUUCAUCCUAAAGCAUACAGGUCCUGGCAUCUUGUCCAUGGCAAAUGCUGGACCCAACACAAAUGGUUCCCAGUUUUUCAUCUGCACUCAAGACUUUACAUAA